GAGGUGGCUGUCCCCUUCAUUGCUCUGCGUCAUCACACUGCGUCCUACAGUGUCGUCUGUUCGGCGGCUCUGUGUCGGCGUGUGUCCCGUCUUUCCUGCUCUUCCUCCUCGUGUCUUGCAGUAACUUGGCAUAGGUCAGUCCUAUUAUCAGUCAUCAUGGAACACGGGCAGCUCUCUACAGACCUUCCAUUUGCAAGAGGUUGACGCCAGAGACGGUCAAGGCCAUGUUCCAGACCUGAUGGAAGUUCUGGUUCUCAGCAAAGCCCCUCACACACGACUCUGUGCACAUGGCAGGACCACCCACUUAGGUUCACCUGGACUACUCCCCAGAACACAGGUGAUUUCAGUGAAGACAAAGAACAGAGAGAGACAUUUUACUCAAGAUCUUAAGCUGAAACUCUAUACAUACAUUUUUCCAGCAUUUACCAAAUUAUAUCUAAUUCAUUCUAUGACAGUUCACUGGUUAUCAAAUGCACCUUCAUGGUCUUUACCAGAUGCUGGAAUAAAGCACCUGUUUGGGCAUGAGAGCAGAUACUGGGGGACUCGGACGUCAUUACUGUAGGGGAUGUGCACACACCGAGCCCCACCCUGGGAGGACUCUGACGUCACUACCGCAUGGGAUGUGCACACACCCAGCCCCACCCUGGUAGGACUCUGACGUCACUACUGUAUGGGAUGUGCACACACCCAGCCCCUCCCUUGGAGGACUCUGAUGUCACUACUGUAUGGGAUGUGCACACACCCAGCCCCUCCCAGGGAGGACUGUGACAUCAGCACUGCAUGGGAUGUGCACAUACCCAGCCCCACCCUUGGGGAACUGUGACAUCAGCACUGUAUGGGAUGUGCACAUACCCAGCCCCACCCUGGGAGGACUGUGACAUCAGCACUGUAUGGGAUGUGCACACACCCAGCCCCACCCUGGGAGGACUGUGACAUCAGCACUGUAUGGGAUGUGCACACACCCAGCCCCUCCCUGGGAGAACUGUGACAUCAGCACUGUAUGGGAUGUGCACACACCCAGACCCUCCCUUGGGGAACUGUGACAUUAGCACUGUGUGGGAUGUGCAUGCACUCAGCCCCUCCCUGGGAGGACUCUGAUGUUAGCACUGCAUGGGAUGUGCACACACGCAGCCCCACCCGGGGAGGACUGUGACAUCAGCACUGUAUGGGAUGUGCACACACCCAGACCCUCCCUUGGGGAACUGUGACAUCAGCACUGUGUGGGAUGUGCAUGCACCCAGUCCCUCCCUGGGGGGACACUGACAUCAGCACUGUAUGGGGUAUGCACACCCAGCCCCACCCUGGGGGCACUGUGACAUCAGCGUUGUUCCUCUAUUCUCUGCCCAGGUUGCUGUUUGGUUCGAGCUCCAUCCCAACGUGGGAACUCCUGGAGAGACUGGCCUGCCUUCCCUCUUAGUUCACUGCUCUCCCUGACAGGGUUUUUUGGAAUCGUCUCUCAAAUAUGCUUUGAUUCAAAUCUUGGUCUUGAGGUUCCUUCUGUGCAGUCCAGACCAGACAGGCAUGCUGCGGUUUUGCUUCUUCCUAUGUGCACAGCCUCCUGUGCAGGUGCUCAGGAGAGCAGCUCAGAAGCAGCCGUCUCAUUAAUGGCGCCUCUCCUGGCGGCAUGUCCGGGUGGGCCUCACCACGUAUCUGCCUGUGCAGCGUGAGAAACUGUGGAUGCUGUCAGCUUGAACUGCAGCUCCUGUGGCCCAGAGGUCUUGGAGCAAAGGGCUACAAACUCCCCACCCGCCUAGCAGUGGGCUUCUGCUAACCCAGGCCAGCCAUGAGGCCAGUGCCCUCAGAAGCUCAGCUUCAAACCACGAGAAACGACUAAGGGAUGGGCCAUGAACUAACCUUCCCGUCAGGCCCAGAGGAAAAACAAGCUGCUUUUACUUCUUGGCGUAUCUCCUAUGAGCCUUGGACAAGCUUCUCGAAGGCCUGGCCUCCUCCCAAGCGGUGUGUCCUUCCCAGGAGCCGGGCGCUGCCGGGAGAGGCCCUGGAGAGGAGAGGGGCCCUCUCGAGGGUCUCCCUCCAGCUUCUGAAUUGAGGCAUCGGCGACACCGCGGUUGAACAAGGAACCGGGUGUGUCCGUGUGCAAACCUAGCGGGCCUGCACCUGAUUACGGAGAACAACGCUUUUUAUAAUAUUGCUAAAAUAUCGGUGUGGUGUUUGCAAAGGUUGCUACAGAAACACACCGAGCAUAGAAUCCAAAAUAGAAUGUCUAGACAAACUCCUACUGUCUGACCUUUUAUGUAUUUCCUAAUCCACCGCAUCUUGCCAAGCAAAUUGGUGACUAAGCAGCCAUUCACUCGACACCCUGUCACAGGGGCCUGACGAGGCCCAGGUCACUGCUGUAAAUUUCAGUCUGGCUGCUGCCUCCCCAGCACGGCUCCCGUGUGGUUUCCGAGCUGCGAUGUGUGUCUGGACCGUCGUGAACUAAUUUCAAGUCUGUUAAGUCCAAAAGCCACAAGGCUGCCGACAAACAGAACUCACUUUCAGUCAGCAGGACCCAGAGUUCACACAAACGUGGAGAGGAGGACCCAGCAGCUCCGGCGAAGACAGACCACAGGUGGUGACCAGCGGGCCUGACGGGAAGGGCCUGGGAGGGGCACUGGCUCUGCUUCGGCGAAGUACGGGGGCUCCUAAGUGCAGCCGGCCGCGGACGUCCCCUCUCCUCUGAGUCCCUGUGUGGACGGCUGGCACGCAAGGAGAGACGUCUUGUGCUCUGAAUAAACUCAACAUGCGAACACCCGACUUUGUAGAAUUGGGGGCCAAUUUAUUUUUCCUGAACACGAUGCUGUGAGUGUCAGGACCUUCCCGGCUGGGGCACGUGGCAUGCGGGGGUGGCGGCUCUGCGGGUGGGGGACUUGACCACACCCCACACGUGGGAGGCAGGGAACCCCGGGCAGCGGGGCGGGCUGCAGCUGGGAAGAGCGGGCCGCGGGCCGUCUGGAGGACAACGCGCUUCACGGAAGCAGCAGGAAGACUCCCAGGUGGGAACAGCUUGGCUGCCGCGCCCGUGAAUGUCCCCGCCCUGGAUGCAGACGCCCAGCGCCGUGCGCUCCACAAACACUUGGAGCACUUGCUUCGGGUGGUUUCCACUGGGACGUGCGUCUGCUUUUAAAAAUGGACACUAGGGUAAGACAGGACCUGUCUUCCCGGAAAAGAUGCCUCUUUGCCAGGACAGCGUUGGCGCCAUGACGUGAGCGGGGCCUGCGUCUUCACACUGAGACCAGCUGUCCAGGUCCCUCAGCCGUCCAAGGCGAGAAAGACAGCUUCUCACAGACAGUCUCCCUCUUGGGCCGGCAGGCGAGUGAGUCGCCCCCAAACCUUCCUGCGCCAAGGCCCACGGGAGCCGCCAGGGAGCUCCAGGCCAAGCGCGAUCUGGUGGCAGGUAUUCCGCGGUCGAAGCGUGCUGAUUUUCCAGGUGUGGGGAAGGAAGAUUCUGUGGAGGCUUCUGACCACAGAGAGCUUCGAGGCACAUGCCAGGAGUUCUUCAGAAGACGUGUCUCUCAGGACGGAGGAGCGGACGUGCUGCUUGAAGUUCUUGGAGACGGUUGAGGUGGCCCCGAAACGCCCAUGCAGCUGACUGAAGCCCUGGCUUCGGGCAGGGUGGUCAGGAACUGCCUCCAGCGAGGACCCUCAGGCUGUGGGCGGGGGGCUGCAGCGGGACCCAGUGCGUCUCCACAGGACGGCUUUGCCCCCAGGACCUGUGUGGUGUCACACGUCCUGGGGCACGCGGGUGCUGGCACCAGGGGUGGUGGCCAGGGUGCCACUGACAUCCUUCAGUGUGCAGGGACCCACGCCAGGAAAUUAUGCAGCCCAGAUGUCGUGAGGUCCACGUCAGGAAACCCUUUUCACUAGAAGCAGGGAGCGCGACAGGGGCCUUGGCCGAGCUGGGGCCAAGGGCACCGGAUCUUGGCUCAGGCUCCCACAGAUGAUUCAGGGGAGUCUUGGGGGGGUGGGGUUAGCCCGCAGCUGGUAGCACAACCAGGCACAGCUGCACCCACCACUGUGCAAGUCUACCCUCACUGGAGGCUUCACAGAAAUCUUGCCCAGGGACAAACCGGCUCCUGGCACCCAUCUGUGCCUCAGUUUCCUCAUCUGCAUGUAGGAAGAAUCAGAGCUCAUCCAGGGGACGGGUGUCAGCAUGAAAGGACAGUGUGGGCCCUCAGAGCCAUGCCUGACACGCGACGGGCCCUCAGCGACGUCCUCAGAUUAUCUCUGUCACUGAGGCUGCAGCCAGCCCUGACAUGGUGAGGACUCCGCCUGGGCCCUCGUUGGCCCUGGCCCGACUGACCCCGAGUCUGAGACUCUGCACACUGUGAGCCUGUGCUCAGAGCUGCUGGAGAGCUUCUCUUAAGAGAUCAGCUCCUGUCUUUGACAGACCAGGGCCCCCAGGACCAAAGGCCACUGUGACCCCGUCAACCACGCCUGACCUUCAUCUCGGCCUCACAGUGCACCCUUCACUGCCUGUCUGCAGGGCUGCCUGAACCCCAGGCACCAUGUGGGGCAGGCUCCCCUGUUCUGUUGCCUCAGGAGACGACAACUGCCAUCCAAGGGUCUAUUUCCACCUGGGUGCACAAGACAAGAGUUCCACCACAGCUUUAAAAAGGACCCGUGCAAGUUCCCAACCCCAAGACCUACUGCAAGCAUCGCGGUCCAACCAGUGUGGCAGUGACGUAAAGACAGGCCCGCGGUCCAACAGCAUAGAACAGAGCCCAGAGAUAAACCCACACGUGUGCGGUCAAGUGAUUCUUGACAAGGGAGCCAAAACCACUCAAUGGGGAAAAUACAGCCUUUUCAGCAAAUGGUACUAGGAAAACUGGAUCUCCACCUGCAAGAGAAUGAAGUCAGACCCUCCUCUAACACCAUAGACAAUAAUUAAGUCGAAGUGGUCCUUUAGGUCAAAAGGCGGAAAUGUAACACCUAAUAUAAUAAAACUCUUAGAAGAAAAUGUAGGACAAAAGUUUCAGGACAUUGCCUUUGGCAAUGAUUUCUUGGAUAUGACACCAACGGCACAGGCAACAAAAGGAAAAAUAGACAAAUUGAACUUCGUGAAAAUUUAAAAAUUUUGUGCAUCAAAAAACACUAUCAACAGAGUAAAAAGACAAUCCACAGAAUGGGAGAAAAUAUUUGUAAUCAUAUACCUAAUAAGGGAUUAAUAUCCAGAAUAUACAGAGAACUUCUAAAACUCAUCAACAAAUAAACAAACAACCUAAUUAAAAUAUGGGCAAAGAACUUGAGUAGAUAUUUCUCCAAAGAAGAUAUGUAAAUGACCAACAAGCACAUGAAGAGAUGCUCAACAUCACUAAUCAUUACGGAAAUGCAAAUCAAAACCACAAUGAGAUACCACCUCACACCCAUCAGAAUGGUCAUUAUCAGAAAAAUGCAUAAGUGCUGGUGUGGAUGUGAGGAAAUCGGACCCAUUGUACAGUGUUGGCAGGAGUGUAAAAUGGUACAGCCGCUGUGGAAAACAGUAUGGAGGUUCCUCGAAAAUUGAAAAUAGAAUUAUCAUAUGACCCAGAAACUCCAUUCCUGGGUAGAUACCCAAAAAGAACUGAAGGAAGGUUCUUAAAGAUAUUUGUGCACCCAUGUUCAUAUCAGCAUGAUUCACAACAGCUAAAACAUGAAAGCAACCCAAGUGCCCAUCGAUCAAUGAAUGGAUAAGAAAAAUGUGGUACAUCCAUAGACUGGAAGAUUAUUCAGCCUUAAAAAGGAAGUAAAUUCUGAAACGUGCUACAACACAGAAGAACAUUAAGGACACUACGCUAAGUGAAAUAAGCCAGUCACAACAAUACAAAUACUGUAUGAUUCCAAUUAUAUAAGGUGACAGUAGGCCUCCGUGGACAAGUGACACAGCCUGUGGGCCUCGGUUUUCUCAUCUGUAGAAUGGGAUGAUGAUCGUACUGACUGGUCCACCCAGGAGCUGUAAACGCAUCUUCAUAAACGGGGUUUGGCCUCCCUUCAGCACAAGUUCUGCCCAUGAAGCCAGGGUCUUACACUGCUUCCCCUCACCUGCGGUCUGUGGUUCUGUGGGGUCCACAGUCGCAGACCCGGGGACUGGCCCAUGGGACAGGGCUCCACCGAGAGGUUGCAGGGAGCCAGAGCCGCAGGGAUGGGCGCGGCUGGCACUUCC
rnacentral:lncRNA from 1 species